UGUCCAACUCAGCAAAUUAAAUCAACCAAUCAUGAAAAGAUUUUUCGUCCACGUCACUGAUGUGCAAAACGUCUCUGCCCUUUCACUUUUCGUCGAUUCCUUUGUCUUCCUCUUUGUCCAUUCCCUUUCUCCAACUCUUCUGCAAUCAAACCUUCACUAACCUCAUUAAUAGCACCGUUUCGCCUUUAUUCCUCUGAAACUAUAUAUAAUACUCUUCUUCAAAUUUUAAUCUCAAUCAAAACUCUUUGUGCUCUCUACGAUGAAUCCCAACGGAGAAUCCACUGUCUCCGGAGGAAACAAGACGGCAAGGCCGUUAUCUCCUCUCCCAAUCUGAUUGAACCAAUCGUGAACACUGGUGUCUCAUCCGGUUGAUCGAUCAGCAAAACGUGUGUCUCCUCCGGCGUAUCCGGUGUCUUUUCCGGCGUAUCGAUCAAAGCUAGGGGCAAAGUCGCUGCCUCCUCUACCAUGCCGAACAAGCCAAACGUUCGCAGCGCUGUUUCUUCCGGCAAAGUUUAUGAAUCGAUGUUCUUCGAAGACGUCACUCUCGGACCACAUGAAGGAGAGGUUAGGUUUCGGCUGAUCCAUUAUCAGAAAUUAGAUCUUAUAAAUCAUAUCAACAUGCAUUGAAAAUGUUAGUGUUGUGUCGUUGAAACUUUCCAUACAGCAUUCGCAGUUAAGAGGCUCCUCUGUUCCAUAAUGCAUUCGAACUUCUCUUACAUUAAUAAUAAAUUUGAAAUCUACACUUACGUUCAAUACUGUUCUGUUUAACCAGUAAAAUUCACAAAACAAAUUAAAGACACUAUUAUAUAAAGCCGCAUUUAUGUGAACUCUGUAAAAACAAUAAUAUUAUAAGAUUCAUUUUCUGCUUAACAAUGGAGGCAGAACUCGAGGUGAGUAGGGCAAGUACUAUUAUUAUCAGUAGUACUUCUUUAUAUCUCGGCAUUCCUCUUCUUGCAAGCAUUGGUUCAGAUUCCAAAAGGUUAAAUCUUUAUACUUUUUCUUUUCUUUUAUAUUCUAUUCUUUCUUUGAUCAACACUGCAUGAAUGAAUCAUAUAAUAAUAAUCAGUUUUGAUUCAGACAUGUUAUUCUUUGAUUGUACUCACAGUUUUGGUAACUUUUUUAAAAAAUGAUAAUAUUUAUUGUUGUGUAGAAAACAGAGAGAAGAAGAGCACUGUGAAGUAUUAUCAAUGGAGAAAGAGAUUUACAGAAUAUAUAAUUCAAGAGAAGGGAUAUAAUGUGUUUGGAUGUUUAUGAACAGCAUGUUUGAUUUCAGACAUGGUGGAUCUAUCCAUAAGCUUUUGAUGGAUAAGAAACGUGGAAGCAAAAGAAUCGUGUUGAGACUAUGGUGGAGAAGCAGCUUACCUGUGACUGCUACUUUGAGCUGAAAUGCAGUGUGUCAAGAACCUCACUGAAGAGGAAGAGACUCAGCAAAAGUGUGAUACUAAAUGCAGAGGAAAGACAAGGAGAAGAAGAGAAGAAGAACAUGCAGCAAAACCAACAGUGAGGAUGUUAAUGAUCAUGCAGACAAGAAACCAGAGGAUCAUCAGAGGGAUGCUGACUCAGUAGAUGAUUAUUCAGAAGAGAAGUUCAGUGAGUUGAUACAGUGGCGAGGUAGAGAACUGCAAGAGCCUUGUGGAUGCAUCUCAGUUCUUGGAUUCUAAACAAGGAUCAUUCCGGGACAUUGGUACUUCACCAGUUUCAGGAGAUUCUCAGAGAAUCAAAGAAACACAAACAAUUGUAAUCUUGAAGCCUGAACCAAAUGGACUGGUUCCUGGUUCAUCACCUGGAACACAAACUACAUGCAACAAUGCGAAAAGUGGGAAAUCCGGUUCUCGCUUCAUUCUCAGUAGAAUCAGAAGAAGACUAAAAUCUUCUGCUAAGAAGAAUCCAUGUAAUGCUGAUUGUAAUUAUCCUUUUUUUGCUGCUACAAUGUUGUUGUUGUAAUUAUCAUAAUGAUAGUGACAUACACAUGUCCAAAAUAUUUAUAAAUGAAAUUUGACAAUCGUGAGAGUCCGUUUGGCACUAUUUGUGAUCAAUAUACUUUGACGUUGUGGGUUCGAGUAAGGCAUUGUCUAUUUUGUUUUCCCUCUCAAAACCUGUCUAUUGUCUUCAGAUGGAAAACUAAAGAAGCGUAUGCGUAUCCAUCCAUCUGAUAUCACCAUGAACAUUGGGAAAGGUGUUCCUGUUCCAGAAUGUCCAAUCAAAACCUUGGUAAAAAAUGGAAAGACGUAAAGCAUGACAACACAACACCGUCACUUGGCUAGCUUUCUGGAAUGAUCCUAUCAAAAAGAGUUUAACUAUGUAUUUUUGGCAGCUGGCAGUGCCUUAAAAGGUCAGAGUGACAAGGAGAAGUAUGAGAAAGCCAAAAAUCUUACGAACAACAUAGACAAUAUAAGAGCAACUUUCACCAAAACUUUUACAUCUAAGGAUGUUACAAAGAAGCAAAUUGAUGUCACUACUUAUCUCAUUGAUAAACUGGCGGUUAGGACUGGAAAUGAGAAGGAUCAUGAAGAGUGCGUUGCCUCCCAACGGAAUGAUCGGUAAAGAUGCUAAAGAUACAGUCCAGGAAUGCGUCUCCGAGUACAUCAGCUUCAUUACCAGGGAGCAUAGCCAGAGACAAGUGCCAGAAAGAGAAAUGGAAAACUGUGAAUGGUGAGGAUUUGUUGCGGGCAAUGUCAACAUUAGAUUUCGAGAAUUACUUGGAAUCCCUUAAAGCUGUACCAUGCGAGGUACAUUGAGGUAGGUUACAUUUACUCUUAACCCCUUUAUUUUUUACAGAGCCUAUUAUAGUUCCACAGAUUAGUAAGUUACUCGCCAAUGGAGAUACUAGCAACAUUUUUCUAUGUGUUUUGUUGUUGGCAAUCUGCUGUCAACAGAUAAAGUUCAUGAAGCAUAACGUCGAUGCAGUCUCUUUGCAAUGGUGUGAUGCCUUCAAGCAAAAGCAAAAAGCCAGUCAGCAGAACAUUUAUUUUGAGAAAGCCAGGUUUAGUUUUUAUGUAUUUUAAUUUUACUGGAACAAAAAGAUUGAAAGAUGAAAAACAUUUGACUUUGGCUUAGAUACUGAGACAUUAGAUAAGACUUUUGUAAAACCAACACUUGGUUCAGCCUUUUAAUGACUGGUCAAAUGCUGGCAACAGAGGAGGUGAUGUGUUUUUAUCAGAGGAAGAGAUAAGGGCUAGAAGUAAUGAAACGCUUGAGAACGAAGAUAUACAGCAGUUGAUGAGGUUUUUUUCUUUUUCAUAUUGUGAUUGAGAGAAGAUGGUCAACAACCUACAAUUUUAAAUUAUUAUUUGUUUAAAAAUGCUCGAAAGUAAAUAAUGUGAAGUAGAGCUUGAAUGUAAACAAAGAGAGCGUGAGGGUUGAUUUUGUUGUGUGUUUGUAUUGGAAAAACAGGUGGUUGUUCUUAGCGUGUCUUCACUGUCCAUGUAGAGGCUGUGAAGCAAAGUGAAGAAACAUCUAUCUAUAAUGAAGGUGUGUGGCUGGAGACAUCAAUCCCUUACAAGUAGUGGGUUGUUUCUCAAAGGUCAAAAAUACUCAGCUUAGAGCGGUACCACCUCCAUCAUCAUUUUUAAGGGUUAUUCCGGAGAACUAAAAACACAAAUUUUGAGUAUUUGUAUUCACUUUAUCUGAUUUGUUAUGAAUCGAAUCACUGGUAAAAGUUCAGAGUUUCUUACUCCAUUUUCAAAUGUUUAUGUGAAAGAUUCAAACCUUUCAUUUAGUUAAUAUCAUUUCUUUAACUUUAUGCUAUGUAAUUAAGGUGUUGGUCAUUUAGGCCACCCACGUUUGUCUCACUUUAGCUUUUGGCGAUUAGUCAAUCCUUUGAUGUUUUUCCUAUUAA